GUCGGCGUGGUCACGGUACAUGCGCAGAGCGUGCCGGUUACCACCGAAUUGCCUGGGCGCACGUCGGCGUAUCUGGUUGCGCAAGUGCGCGCCCGCGUCGAUGGCAUCGUGCUGCAUCGCGAGUUUACCGAGGGCGGCCAGGUCAAGGCCGGCCAGCGUCUCUAUCAGAUCGA
rnacentral:ncRNA from 1 species